UACGUAGGGUGCGAGCGUUGUCCGGAAUUACUGGCGUAAAGAGCUCGUAGGUGGUUUGUCGCGUUGUUCGUGAAAACUCACAGCUCAACUGUGGGCGUGCGGCGAUACGGGCAGACUGGAGUACUGCAGGGGAGACUGGAAUUCCUGGUGUAGCGGUGGAAUGCGCAGAUAUCAGGAGGAACACCGGUGGCGAAGGCGGGUCUCUGGGCAUUAACUGACGCUGAGAAGCGAAAGCAUGGGGAGCGAACAGG
rnacentral:rRNA from 1 species